rnacentral:misc_RNA from 1 species
AAGUCGUAACAAGGUUUCCGUAGGUGAACCUGCGGAAGGAUCAUUAACACUUCUCUAAAAACAACAAACUUCAUUGUUCUAGCCCUCACAAGGGGUUAGGACAUAUGAAACCCUAUACACUAUGCGAACCCGGGGCUGGGAGAAUGUCUCUGUAUGCUUUCGUCAUACCUAGCUUCUUUCAUCGACCCCACAAACCUUUUGUCCAUUUUCAUUUACUUUAACCCUAACAACAACAUAAUGCUUUACUGACUGACUGAGACUCUUUACCGAGUCUCGUUGUUCUUCGAAGGAAGAGCAAUGAAAACUUUUCAUUAUUGAAAAAACAAAAAAACAACUCUUAGCAACGGAUAUCUUGGUUCUC